GACGAACGCUGGCGGCGUGCCUAACACAUGCAAGUCGAGCGAGUGGAUCUCCUUCGGGAGUGAAGCUAGCGGCGGACGGGUGAGUAACACGUGGGCAACCUGCCUCAUAGAGGGGAAUAGCCUUUCGAAAGGAAGAUUAAUACCGCAUAAGAUUGUAGCUUCGCAUGAAGUAGCAAUUAAAGGAGCAAUCCGCUAUGAGAUGGGCCCGCGGCGCAUUAGCUAGUUGGUGAGGUAACGGCUCACCAAGGCGACGAUGCGUAGCCGACCUGAGAGGGUGAUCGGCCACAUUGGGACUGAGACGCGGCCCGGACUCCUACGGGAGGCAGCAGUGGGGAAUAUUGCACAAUGGGGGAAAGCCUGAUGGAGCAAUGCCGCGUGCGGGAUGAAGGUCUUAGGACUGUAAACCGCUUUUAUAUGUGAAGAUUAUGACGGUAGCAUAUGAAUAAGGAUCGGCUAACUACGUGCCAGCAGCCGCCGUAA
rnacentral:rRNA from 1 species